rnacentral:lncRNA from 1 species
UCAAAUGUCAGAUGAACUUCAAAUUCUGAAAGAAGAUUACAAAUCUUCAGCUUCUCUGCCGUAUCUGGAUUCAUUAAAUUUACUUUCAGACUCGUCUGUGGAUGAAGUAGUUUCAAACUCUUCAAGAAGUUUUGGAUUUACAGAUGAAAGCAUGUCAUCGUGUUUUAGUUCUCGCAACUCAAACAUGGAUCCACCUGCAUAUAUUAAUGCUUUGCAUGCCCGAAUA